GUUUUUUAACCCCUUCUUUUUUUUGAUAAGAAUUGUUUUUCCACAAUAGGCAUAAAAACGUGAAGGAUCAUUCCUCCCAAACAGACGGUUAAUAGGGUUCCGAUGCCGAUAGGGCCUUUAAAGAUGAUGGCUAAUACUAAGAAAAGAGCGUAUACCAAUGUUCUUGAAAACAAGAUUGUUCUUUUGGAGAGAUCUCGGAUAAUAAGUGUUAAAUGAUCGAUGGGUGUUGAUGCGAAUUUCGUCUGAAGAUAGAUGGCUGUUCCAAGACCGAUGAGCAUCAAACCAAUUCCGAAACAAAUCAGUUUGCUUAACAACGCAUUUAGAUAGAUGGUGUUUUUUACAACAAACAACCAUAGGUCAAUGCCUAUUCCAGUAAUGAAUGCUGUAAUUAAGCCUAGCAAAAUAGGUUUUUUUCUCGUUAAUAUAGCGUUGCAGAUUAAGAGGAUCACAGAAAUAAGGACCUCCCAGCUCCCUACGGUAAGACCGAUUUCUUUUGACAGACCAACCAAAAGGGCAUCGAAGGGUGAUGUGCCCAGUCCUGAUUGUAUGGUUAAGGAAAUGCCCAAACUUAAUAUGAGUAUGCCUAAUCCGUAAAAAAUAUAUUUCAUGUUAUAUUCCGCGAUAUGUCUUUUGUCAUCAAGACAUGAGGGAUGCCGUCUUCCAUAAAUUCCUGUGAAGAAAUCUGGUAGCCCAGUUUUUGAUAAAAGCCUGCUGCUUGUGUUUGACCAUGCAGCUUACAUGCAGUCAGUCCUUUUUCUUUUAUGAUUUCUUCUAACCAGCUUACGAUGACUUUCCCCAAUCCAUACUUACGGUAAGGUUUUAGGAUGCAGAUUCUUUCCAGCUUUGCUGUAUGGUCAACGAUGCGCACACGGCCCGUGCCGACAGGCUGAUUCUCAUGAUAUACCAAGACAUGCUGGCAUUGUUCCUGGAGCGUAUCAAAUUCAUCGAACUCUUCGGAUUCCGAUACAUGUUGCUCCUCAAUGAAAACCGUCUUUCUAAUAUUCAAAGCUUCAUGUAAAUCAGCUUCAGUUGUUAUUCUUUUUAUAUUCAUUAUGAAUCAAUCCUUUUCUGAUAUUAGUCUGGACUGUACAGCAUGCAUGUGGUCUUAUAAUAGUAAGGUUAAAACAUUUUUGUUGUAAUUGCAACAAAAAUACGUGAGGGGUUUUAGGAAUGAAUGAUAUUUUGCGUGAGAUCGGCAUGAUAGCAAGAGCGUUGGAUUCCAUAAGCAACAUCGAAUUUAAAGAUUUGGACUUAACAAGAGGGCAGUAUCUCUAUCUCGUACGUAUAUACGAAAAUCCGGGAAUUAUUCAAGAAAAAUUGGCGGAAAUGAUAAAGGUGGACCGGACAACGGCCGCGCGGGCCAUUAAGAAGCUGGAAAUGCAGGGAUUUAUUCAAAAACUGCCAGAUGAGCAAAAUAAAAAAAUAAAAAAACUGUUCCCGACUGAGAAAGGGAAAAAGGUAUAUCCAUUGUUAAGAAGAGAAGGAGAACAUUCCACGGAAGUGGCCUUGUCCGGUUUUACUUCAGAGGAAAAGGAAACCAUUUCUGCACUCCUUCAUAGAGUGAGGAAGAAUAUAGAACGUGAUUGGGAAUAUGUGAAGAAGGGGAACAAAAGGGAUUAUUAAUGGACAACGUUAACAAGUUGAGCUGAUGCUGGCGAAAAUCGGCGUUUCCUCUCAAGAAUCCAGUCAGCUCGAGCGUGGGUGAAAAUAGUCCGUUCACUUCUGUUUUCUUUAAAACUAUCAAAAAAUUUCCACAGGAGAUGGUUUGCGUGAACUUGAGACAACUAUCAGAACAUGUCUAUCAAUGUGAAUUUGAGCUUGAUGUGCCUCUUCGGAUUCCAGUUCAUACCUGGUUUAUCAAAGAUGGUGAUGAUGUUUAUAUUGUUGAUACGGGAAUAGAACGUUUUGCUGAUGCUCAAAUUAGGGCAGCGUUAGCGAUCGGCAAUCCAAAAGCCAUUUUGCUUACCCAUGGCCACAGUGAUCAUAUCGGAGGUGCAUCAAAAUGGUUAGAGAGAUUUGAUAUUCCGAUUUUUGCGCACCAGAAAGAACUAAAGUACAUCAAUGGGGAAGAGCCAUAUCCGAACAAAAAUGAAGUGGAGAACACAGGGGUAGCCCAUAUUGUCCAGCCGCUGACGGAGCAAACGCUUGCUCACCUGCCUCUGAAAUACUAUUUAACACCUGGCCAUUCUCCGGGGCAUGUCGUGUAUUAUCAUAAAAUCGAUCGUACGCUAUUAACGGGUGACCUUUUUAUCACAAGUAAGGAGGAUUUACACCCACCUAUAAGAAGAUUCAGUGUUGAUAUAAAUGAGAACAUCGACAGCGGCUCAAUCAUAGAUCAAAUCAAACCAACGCUCAUUUGCUCUUCACAUGGCGAAGAAAUCCUUUAUAACGAAGAAUUGUAUAAAAACUAUGUGGUAAGGUAUAGGGAUUAAUGGAAGUGAAAAACAUGAGCUGAAAAUUCUUCAGCAUAUUGAAGCCCUCGAACCGAUUUACUCACACCCAAAAAGAAAAAAUGGCAGCUGCCUGCCGCGGAGGCUUUUGCGGAGCUUGUUUUACAUUCGAUUCAUGAGCAAAAGGAGUGAGUGUCAGGCUCACUCCUAUUCUAUUUAAAUUGCGGCUGUGAGCUUUGGUUUUACAAAUUUCAUGAAAAUCCCUCUGACUAAUGGGCCCAUAAUCAGUAAUUGCAAUGGAUAGGCCAGGAUGAAAUUUUUCAACACAAUCAUAAGAUAAGCACUGAAGAGGCUGUCCCCGUUCAGCCCAUUUGCUAGAACCGCUGUCACUAAACCGAACACAGACAUACAAAGUACCAUGCCAAUCACCAUACAAGUUGACAUGGCAAGGAUGACAUAAAUUUUUUUAGUCUUGUCG
rnacentral:rRNA from 1 species